rnacentral:rRNA from 1 species
AUUGAACGCUAGCGGGAUGCCUUACACAUGCAAGUCGAACGGCAGCACGGACUUCGGUCUGGUGACGAGUGGCGAACGGGUGAGUAAUGUAUCGGAACGUGCCCAGUAGCGGGGGAUACCUACGCGCAAGCGUAGCUAAUACCGCAUACGCCCUACGGGGGAAAGCAGGGGAUCGUAAGACCUUGCACUACUGGAGCGGCAGAUAUCGGAUUAGCUAGUUGGUGAGGUAAUGGCUCACCAAUGCGACGAUCCGUAGCUGGUUUGAGAGGACGACCAGCCACAAUGGGGCUGAGACACGGCCCAGACUCCUACAGGAGGCAGCAGUGGGGAAUUUUGGACAAUGGGGGAAACCCUGAUCCAGCCAUCCCGCGUGUGCGAUGAAGGCCUUCGGGUUGUAAAGCACUUUUGGCAGGAAAGAAAUGGCGUAUGUUAAUACCAUGCGCAGAUGACGGUACCUGCAGAAUAAGCACCGGCUAACUACGUGCCAGCCGCCGCUGUAAGAC